CCAGGAGGGUUCCGUGGCUCCCAACACCCAGCCUUGUCUGUUGGCCAGGACCCUGCCAUCACCACCCUUGCCCUGGCUCCCCAGGAAAGCAUCCUCCACAUUCUCUUCUUUUCUCUUCAGGAUCAGCCCUUAGGCAAUCUGAAAACAUGGGGCCAACUCAGCCACUGGGGGACAGGAGUCUGGAUGAGCAGCCCAGCAUGCCUGCGGGGACCGGCCUGAGGCCUCUUCUCCACGUCUGCAGCACACUGGAGCCUCGUUGCGCACAGAGGGAGUUAUCCCGGACUCCCAUCCAGGAAGGGGAGUAGGGAGAAGAAAAGAUGAUGAAGCAGAAGAAAAACCCAUCCUCCCGCAGAGUAGCCAGGCGUGACAGCAACAAAUCUAUAGCCUUGGGAAGAACAAACUGUUGUCAACUGAG